GAUGAACGCUAGCGGGAGGCCUAACACAUGCAAGCCGAGCGGUAUUGUUUCUUCGGAAACGAGAGAGCGGCGCACGGGUGCGGAACACGUGUGCAACCUGCCUUUAUCUGGGGGAUAGCCUUUCGAAAGGAAGAUUAAUACCCCAUAAUAUUUUGGAUGGCAUCAUUUAAAAUUGAAAACUCCGGUGGAUAGAGAUGGGCACGCGCAAGAUUAGAUAGUUGGUAGGGUAACGGCCUACCAAGUCAGUGAUCUUUAGGGGGCCUGAGAGGGUGAUCCCCCACACUGGUACUGAGACACGGACCAGACUCCUACGGGAGGCAGCAGUGAGGAAUAUUGGACAAUGGGUGAGAGCCUGAUCCAGCCAUCCCGCGUGAAGGACGACGGCCCUAUGGGUUGUAAACUUCUUUUGUACAGGGAUAAACCUUUCCACGUGUGGAAAGCUGAAGGUACUGUACGAAUAAGCACCGGCUAACUCCGUGCCAGCCGCCGC
rnacentral:rRNA from 1 species